rnacentral:lncRNA from 1 species
GAGUUACACUGUCUUCUUAUCAUAAAUUUUUCUAGUGAUAAGUUCAUUGACUUUCACAAAUUGUCUCUUUACAUUUCGAUACAUACACUAUUUUCUAUUACAAUAAAUGCAUGGCUACCAUAAUUUCUGAUAGGUUCACAUUGUAAAAUUCUUAAAGUGAUGCAACAACAACAACAAUGAUAGAUAGCAUCGUUUAAUAAAAUUGGAUUUGGUUUAUGGUAAGAGAUUGGGACACAUAACAUGACCUUGAGGGUGAGAGAAGUCCAGGAGUGGUCGGUGCCGGAGAGUGUAGAAUUUAAGUGGUCGUAGUGUUCCUGAAACGACAAAAGGGAAAUGUCGUUUUAAUGCGACUUAUUACAAAUUACAAAUUCGAGGGGAAUGGAAUAAAAGGGAACCUGGAAGAGUUUGGUGAGGUUGUUGAGAAGGGAAGAAGAGGGAGAGGGAGAUGCUUCACGAAGGAGAGAGUGUCCUCGUCCUUCUUCUUCUUCUUCUCCAAUGUCGUUUAGGAGAUCUCCAAUGCAUAGAAGGGGUCCUCUGAU